GCAGUGAGGAAAUUAAGGAUAGCAUGUUGUCCUUGUAAUGGGGAUGCAGCAGGGUGGCCACCCAGUAAUCAGCACAAGUUAGAAUGUGGGCAACUCUGCAGUUGUUGCGCAGGCACUUUGGUGACUCUAGAUAACCUUGGGCUGAUCGCACGUCCCCGUGACGGCGACGACGCAUUUGGAUGUCUGCCCUAUCAACUUUCGAUGGUACUUUCUGCGCCUACCAUGGUGACCACGGGUAACGGGGAAUCAGGGUUCGAUUCCA